AUGGCCAGGUUGAUGGUCGUCAUCGGCCUCAUGGCCAGCGUCCUCGCCCUCCCCGGCCUUUUCCAUUCCGGCCUUCGACGCCUGGGCCAGCCAAGCAUCAUCUCGCACAUCCUGGCUGGCGUGGUGGUCGGCCCGACGGUGCUUGGCCGCGUGGUCAACCUCCGUCCGCUAGGCAUGGAGGACGCCGGCAUGGCGCUGGACGACGCCAUCUACUUCCUCCGCGUCGUGUUCAUGUUCUUCACCGGGCUGGAGAUGGACUUGUGUUACAUGCGGCGCUACUUGCGUGCCUCCCUCGUCCUCGCCUGCGGCGGCUCCGCGCUGUGCCUCCUGCUCGCUGCCGUCGGCGGGCUAUUCUUCUAUGGCCUUCUGCACCCAUGGAAGGAGACCUUCUACCCAGAGGGCAUCUACGCUUCCACCGCUCUCUUCAUGCUCGUCCUCACCAGCACCGCCUCGCCCGUCCUCAUCCACAUCGUCACGGAGCUCAAGCUCACCGGCUCCGAGACCGGCCAGCUCGCCAUGGGCACCGCCUUCGCCAAUGACAUAGUCAGCCUCACCGUCGUCAGUAUCAUGGACGUCGACUGGACCACCUAUGACAAGGAUGGCAAGGCCAAGCCACCGCCUGGCGGCCUUCAAGUGCAGCCGAUCGCAAAGCCGAUCAUCUUCCUCUUCCUGUCGCUCAACAUCUGGAUCGCCAUUCGUUUGGUGGUGUGGCUGGUCAGGCUGCUCAACAGGGCUAAGAAGGGGCGGCAAUACAUCAGGAGGUCCAAGCAAUCAUACAAGCAUGACACCGAGAUUUAUUAUCAAGGUUCACCAUCAUGGCUACAUCCCCGGGGCCUGAUUACGGGCGCUCCUCCCUGUGACACCGUCACAAUACCGCACCUUGGCCGCCCGGGCACCGGCACACGCCGCCGGCUUCCUCGCAUGCCUGUGCUAUUAUGUUGGCAUAGGUUACAUCAUGUGUCUACCCCCGAUAUAUAUGAGUGGCCUAAGAUACAGGUGUCCUAUUAG
rnacentral:rRNA from 1 species